AAAGGGUGCGUAGGCGGCCUGUUAAGUCAGGGGUGAAAGACGGUAGCUCAACUAUCGCAGUGCCUUUGAUACUGACGGGCUUGAAUGUACUUGAGGUAGGCGGAAUGUGACAAGUAGCGGUGAAAUGCAUAGAUAUGUCACAGAACACCAAUUGCGAAGGCAGCUUACUAAAGUAUGAUUGACGCUGAGGCACGAAAGCGUGGGGAUCAAACAGGAUUAGAUACCCUGGU
rnacentral:rRNA from 1 species